UGAAAGAGGAACACAGGAGCUUA
rnacentral:piRNA from 1 species